UACGUAGGGGGCAAGCGUUGUCCGGAAUCAUUGGGCGUAAAGCGCGUGUAGGCGGCUCGGUAAGUCUGCUGUGAAAGUCCAGGGCUCAACCCUGGGAUGCCGGUGGAUACUGUCGAGCUCGAGUCCGGAAGAGGCGAGUGGAAUUCCUGGUGUAGCGGUGAAAUGCGCAGAUAUCGGGAGGAACACCUAUGGCGAAGGCAGCUCGCUGGGACGUUACUGACGCUGAGACGCGAAAGCGUGGGGAGCAAACAGG
rnacentral:rRNA from 1 species